CCUACGGGUGGCAGCAGUCGAGAAUCAUUCACAAUGGGGGAAACCCUGAUGGUGCGACGCCGCGUGGGGGAAUGAAGGUCUUCGGAUUGUAAACCCCUGUCAUGUGGGAGCAAAUUAAAAAGAUAGUACCACAAGAGGAAGAGACGGCUAACUCUGUGCCAGCAGCCGCGGUAAUACAGAGGUCUCAAGCGUUGUUCGGAAUCACUGGGCGUAAAGCGUGCGUAGGCUGUGUCGUAAGUCGUGUGUGAAAGGCGCGGGCUCAACCCGCGGACGGCACAUGAUACUGCGAGACUAGAGUAAGGGAGGGGGAACCGGAAUUCUCGGUGUAGCAGUGAAAUGCGUAGAUAUCGAGAGGAACACUCGUGGCGAAGGCGGGUUCCUGGACAUUAACUGACGCUGAGGCACGAAGGCCAGGGGAGCGAAAGGGAUUAGAUACCCUUGUAGUC
rnacentral:rRNA from 1 species